CACUGCAGAAGAGGGAUACCAGGAGGCCUCCUGCAUCCAGACGCUCAGGACACAAAGGAACACAGACUUAGCAGAAAGGACAUUUGACCUCAAAACUCUACUUACACGAAUCAACAGACGUUUGUGCAAAAAUUUAAGUCAAGGACGUUCAUCAGCGCAUGAUCAAUAAUGGAAAAUUGGAAACAACCUAAAUGGCAAACAGUUAAGGAUACGCUAAAUCCCUUCUUUGGAAAGGGCAAAAGGAAAGCACAAGGUAGAAAAUAAAACUCACCCGUAAAUAUCCAUACCUAGAAAGAACCACAAUUUGAUUGCUGGAAUGUUGUCUUUCCAACUUUUUUUCCUACACAUCUUCAUGAAUUUGGGGGUUGUUAAUAUAAAAUUGGGACCAUAAUAAAUAUACUGACUUACAGUCUGACUUGUUUUAUGUAGCAAACAUUGUAAAUAUUUUCAUGCCAUUAAAUAUUGUUCUACGACAUA